rnacentral:rRNA from 1 species
UGGGGAAUAUUGCACAAUGGAGGGAACUCUGAUGCAGCGACGCCGCGUGAGUGAUGAAGGAAUUCAUUUCGUAAAACUCUGUUCUAUGGGAAGAAAAGGACUGUACCAUAGGAGAAAGCUCCGGCUAAAUACGUGCCAGCAGCCGCGGUAAUACGUAUGGAGCGAGCGUUGUCCGGAAUUAUUGGGCGUAAAGGGUGCGCAGGCGGCUUUACAAGUUGGAUGUGAAAUAUUGUGGCUCAACCACAAACGUGCAUCCAAAACUGCAAAGCUUGAGUUAAGGAGAGGUAAGUGGAAUUCCUGGUGUAGCGGUGGAAUGCGUAGAUAUCAGGAGGAAUACCGGUGGCGAAGGCGACUUACUGGACUUAAACUGACGCUCAGGCACGAAAGCGUGGGGAGCAAACAGG